ACCCUCUUUUUCACCUCGUCGGAAAUAUUAUGGGACCCCCUCGCACCCCGCCCUCAGGAUAAGAGGCUGAUUGACAGUUGAGACGGACAACGGAAGUCCCAGGCCUAUGCACGCUCACGCAUGUCCCCCUCGUGUGUAUUGUGAAAGUCACGUGGUCUCUGGCCACUGGACAUACUUGGAUGAUGGGCGGCCCAGGGGGAGGGCGGGGCUUACAGAAUUUGGAAGAAGACAAAAGGUACAGUGAACAUGUAGAGAAUGGCACAACGGUAGUCGUAUAUUUUACCCACCUUUGUAUGACCAAAAUUGUGUGAAACAUCUAUCCAGUCAUCAAAUCUAGCACUUUUGAAUACACUAAGGUGAUUAGAAUAGACAAGACCUACGGUGAAACAUCUAUCCAGUCAUCAAAUCUAGCACUUUUGAAUACACUAAGGUGAUUCGAAUAGACUAGACCUACGCUUUGAGGUUUGUCUACGAAAGGUCCACGCCAAGAAGUUUGAGAGCAUGACAUUCUUUUAAACGAUGAAAAUUAAGACAUUCCCCUUUGAGGAAUCAAGCUGUGAACGCCUUCGCGAUUGUUAAGUGUAAUACAAACUGAACUGAUGUCGCCCCCAAUUAAUGUUAUGAAAGAGUCAGUAACGAUUUGCAAGUUCCCUUGGUACCCACGGCGCUCACCAGUACGAGGUUUAAAUAAAGUCUCAAUUUAAAAAAAAAAGAA